CGUUUUUCAUUAUUCAUUCAUUUUUCAGAGAACAUACCAAAACCUACCGUUUUCUCUCACAAGUCAUUUUUUCCCACCAUGAUUCGAUCCCAAUCUUUGCAUCAUUUACUUCAAUCUAUAACUAAUUUCUUCGAUCUAUAAGUAUUUUCUUUCUUUAAUCUCAAUUGAGAGCCAUCUUUUUCUUGAAUCUUAAACUGUACCUUUUUGUAUUCGUCUUGUAAUAGUAGAAAAAAGAUGGAAACCCAUUUUGUUUCCUCAUAAGUAAAGAAGAGUAACACAGAUAUCAACAGUGAAGACGUUUUGAAUUCUCUUUUAUUUCAUCAUCAGUAGUAUUAUCGGUGGAUUUCUCUAUGCCAAGCAUAUGGGUAAUGAUAUGUGGGAUGUGGCUAUUGAUAGAAGGUACACGAAGCUGGUUGAGAAAUUGCUAAUGUUGAGCAGUAUUAGUGGAAUUGAUGAUCUAAAUGUAAGAUUGUUAGGGUUUCAAUUAACUUGAUCUAAAAUGUCUGGUGGUGGUAUUAGAUCCAAGUAACCAUGGAGUGAUGCAUUUUUGCAAGGUAGUUUAUAUUUGAAACAAGUAGAGAGACAAACACGUCGACCUGUGUUUGUGUGGCAGCUUCAACGAAAAAGCAACAAAGCAACGAAAAAGCAUGAUUCAGAUGACAUAAGUAAUAUCCCUGACCAAAUGUCAAUCCGCAACCUGAUCCCGCAGCAGUUUAGAAUUAUCAAUUUGUUCUGUAUUUUCGAUGGCGUAGGCAUCGAGCUGCUGCUAAGUGCAGGUGGAAGUGGAGUCUUGGUUCAACCGAUGUAGAGGUGGAUUCAAGGUUUGAGCAUAGAACUGGCAAGGGACGCAGCUAUGGACCUCCAUACGAAUGACAACCAACGAGUUUGAUCGGUAUAUAAGUAAUGAUGUGCAAAAUUUGGAGAAUGAGAAGAUAACGGUCCAAUAUUGUUCAAAUCUGAUAGGUAUAUAAGUAAUGAUGUGCAAUAUCUUUAUUCCAAGGAGCGAAAUCAUUUUUACAUUGGUUAAUGUUUGUUUAUGUUUGUCAGCUUCCCAGGGAAGCUGCUGGUGUUAAAAUUGCUAGUGGAGCAGCGGAAGCUCCAGCACUAGAAUCUGCAAAGUGAAUGGGACCAACCUGCUGUGUCUGUUCAUGUCAAGAUUAUGAGAAGUAUGCAUUCUGUCUAUUGCAUGUAUCUUGUUCAUCGGGGUUCCUUGACAUGUUCAAGUAUGCCAUUUCAACCAAGAUGGAAGUGCUGAAUUUGAGUCUAAGAGGCCCUAAUUACUCAGCUCUUCCUUUUGCUAAGGAUUAAUUCUCAAGAAUAUGGAGCGCAUAAUCUUGUUGAGCUUAUUCACUUCAAACUGUUUUGUAAAGAUGGACAUAGGAGAAUGACCUGGGUUGCUUAUGAUUUAUGUUUUCCCUGAAUUGUAAAUGAUGUAUCGAAAAGAUCAGAUUGCAAUUAUGUUUCAGGUUUAAAUUUAAUUGUGUCACAAGCCUGUAAACUGAGAUCCAUGAUGACCUGUAUCGCAGGCCUGUAAACUAAGAUCUCAGGUCCAUGAGAAUGACCUGGGCUGCCUAUUUUUUUA